GAUGAACGCUGGCGGCGUGCUUAACACAUGCAAGUCGAACGAAGCACCUUGAUUUGAUUCUUCGGAUGAAGAUCCUGGUGACUGAGUGGCGGACGGGUGAGUAACGCGUGGGUAACCUGCCUCAUACAGGGGGAUAACAGUUAGAAAUGACUGCUAAUACCGCAUAAGACCACAGCACCACAUGGUGCAGGGGUAAAAACUCCGGUGGUAUGAGAUGGACCCGCGUCUGAUUAGGUAGUUGGUGGGGUAACGGCCUACCAAGCCGACGAUCAGUAGCCGACCUGAGAGGGUGACCGGCCACAUUGGGACUGAGACACGGCCCAAACUCCUACGGGAGGCAGCAGUGGGGAAUAUUGCACAAUGGGGGAAACCCUGAUGCAGCGACGCCGCGUGAGCGAUGAAGUAUUUCGGUAUGUAAAGCUCUAUCAGCAGGGAAGAA
rnacentral:rRNA from 1 species